ACAGAGGUCCCAAGCGUUGUUCGGAUUCACUGGGCGUAAAGGGUGCGUAGGCGGUUGGGUAAGUCUGGCGUGAAAUCUCCGAGCCUAACUCGGAAACUGCGUUGGAUACUAUUUAGCUAGAGGAGUGGGGGGGAGACUGGAAUACUUGGUGUAGCAGUGAAAUGCGUAGAUAUCAAGUGGAACACCAGUGGCGAAGGCGAGUCUCUGGACAUUUCCUGACGCUGAGGCACGAAAGCCAGGGGAGCAAACGGGA
rnacentral:rRNA from 1 species